GACGAACGCUGGCGGCGUGCUUAACACAUGCAAGUCGAACGAUGAAGCUUAGCUUGCUAGGUGGAUUAGUGGCGAACGGGUGAGUAAUACGUGAGUAACCUACCUUUAACUCUGGGAUAAGCCUGGGAAACUGGGUCUAAUACCGGAUACGACCAAUCUCCGCAUGGGGUGUUGGUGGAAAGCGUUAUGUAGUGGUUAUAGAUGGGCUCACGGCCUAUCAGCUUGUUGGUGAGGUAACGGCUCACCAAGGCGACGACGGGUAGCCGGCCUGAGAGGGUGACCGGCCACACUGGGACUGAGACACGGCCCAGACUCCUACGGGAGGCAGCAGUGGGGAAUAUUGCACAAUGGGCGCAAGCCUGAUGCAGCGACGCCGCGUGAGGGAUGACGGCCUUCGGGUUGUAAACCUCUGUUAGCAGGGAAGAAGAGAAAUUGACGGUACCUGCAGAGAAAGCGCCGGCUAACUACGUG
rnacentral:rRNA from 1 species